rnacentral:rRNA from 1 species
UACGAAGGGGGCUAGCGUUGCUCGGAAUGACUGGGCGUAAAGGGCGCGUAGGCGGAUGGCACAGUCAGAUGUGAAAUUCCCGGGCUUAACCUGGGGGCUGCAUUUGAUACGUGUUGUCUAGAGUGAGGAAGAGGGUCGUGGAAUUCCCAGUGUAGAGGUGAAAUUCGUAGAUAUUGGGAAGAACACCGGUGGCGAAGGCGGCGACCUGGUCCUUGACUGACGCUGAGGCGCGAAAGCAUGGGUAGCGAACAGG